UACGGAGGGUGCAAGCGUUGCUCGGAAUCACUGGGCGUAAAGCGAACGCAGGCGGACCGUUAAGUUGGGUGUGAAAGCCCGAGGCUCAACCUCGGAACUGCAUUCAAAACUGGCGGUCUUGAGUACGGGAGAGGGAAGUGGAAUUCCUGGUGUAGAGGUGAAAUUCGUAGAUAUCAGGAGGAACACCUGUGGCGAAAGCGACUUCCUGGCCCGAAACUGACGCUCAUGUUCGAAAGCGUGGGGAGCAAACAGG
rnacentral:rRNA from 1 species